rnacentral:rRNA from 1 species
AUUGAACGCUGGCGGCAGGCCUAACACAUGCAAGUCGAACGAGCGGCGGACGGGUGAGUAAUGUCUGGGAAACUGCCCGAUGGAGGGGGAUAACUACUGGAAACGGUAGCUAAUACCGCAUACCAUCGGAUGUACCCAGAGUGGAUUAGCUAGUAGGUGGGGUAACGGCUCACCUAGGCGACGAUCCCUAGCUGGUCUGAGAGGAUGACCAGCCACACUGGGACUGAGACACGUGCCAGAUGCCUACGGGAGGAAGCAGUGGGGAAGAUUGCACAAUGGGCGAAAGCCUGAUGCAGCCAUGCCGCGUGUAUGAAGAAGGCCUUAGGGUUGUAAAGUACGUUCAGCGGGGAGGCGUUACCCGCAGAAGAAGCACCGGCUAACUCCGUGCCAGCAGCCGCGGUAAUAC